rnacentral:lncRNA from 1 species
CUCACGGUCUCCGGAGCACGGAUCUGACCACUGGACAUUUGAAUCAAGAUCUCCAAGCCAGACUCAACCAAGAUGAUCUACUUCACCCAGGUCCUUCAAGAAAAGUAAACAGCAUUCACUGUGAGAGUGGCAUUCAAGAAGUAAAGACAGACUGAACUACAGCUGAAUAGAAAUCUUCAAGAAAGAGAUGGAGAGGAACAUUAUCACCAACUAUCCAUGACACAAACCUGAGAGACUACUAUGAUGCCUACUUUCACUUCUCCAUCCAUUACAGUAACCACACUCCCCUUAUCUUCGAUGAUUAACUACCAUCACUUGGCUCAUGUCACCUGGGGAUCCCAUUAUCUCCAUUGCCUUUAGGGAUCCCUGCUCAACAGCAGCAGUUUCCGCUGGAAUUUCUGACCUACAGAAAAGAGUAACUGAAGAACUCUUCGAGGAUACUGGGUCUCCCCUCAUAAAUUUAUUUCGCACAGUUUUAGUGAAAGAUGUGAUAUCCUGGAGCAGCAGAUCACCUUUGGGUCCAUGUUUCAGCAAACCAACUAAACAACCUUUGGAGCCCUUUCUCACCUCUUGAGCUGAAUCAUUGGAUCCAGGAUCUCUGUUUACUGAGCCCAUAUCAAUAAAAUAAGCCUGA